GGGGCCGUAGCUCAGCUGGGAGAGCGCUUGCAUGGCAUGCAAGAGGUCGUCGGUUCGAUCCCGAUCGGCUCCACCU
rnacentral:tRNA from 1 species